rnacentral:rRNA from 1 species
GGUGGCGAUAGCGAAGAGGUCACACCCGUUCCCAUUCCGAACACGGCAGUUAAGCUCUUCAGCGCCGAUGGUAGUUGGGGGUUUCCCCCUGUGAGAGUANUCCCUUCACCC